rnacentral:tRNA from 1 species
UGGUUUCGUGGUAGAAUUCUCACUUGCCAUGUGGGAGACCUGGGUUCAAUUCCCAG